GUGGGGAAUAUUGGACAAUGGGCGAAAGCCUGAUCCAGCCAUGCCGCGUGUGUGAAGAAGGUCUUCGGAUUGUAAAGCACUUUAAGUUGGGAGGAAGGGCAGUAAGUUAAUACCUUGCUGUUUUGACGUUACCGACAGAAUAAGCACCGGCUAACUUCGUGCCAGCCGCCGCGGUAAUACGAAGGGGGCGAGCGUUAUUCGGAAUCACUGGGCGUAAAGCGUGCGUAGGCGGUUUUGUAAGUUAGGAGUGAAAGCCCAGGGCUCAACCUUGGAAUUGCGCUUGAAACUGCAAGGCUCGAAUGUCGGAGAGGAUAGCGGAAUUUCCAGUGUAGCAGUGAAAUGCGUAGAUAUUGGAAGGAACACCAGUGGCGUAAGCGGCUAUCUGGACGAGUAUUGACGCUGAGGCACGAAAGCGUGGGGAUCAAACAGGAUUAGAUACCCCAGUAGUCC
rnacentral:rRNA from 1 species